rnacentral:rRNA from 1 species
GGGAAAGGUGAAAAGCACCCCGGAAGGGGAGUGAAAUAGAACCUGAAACCGUGUGCUUACAAGUAGUCAGAGCCCGUUAAUGGGUGAUGGCGUGCCUUUUGUAGAAUGAACCGGCGAGUUACGAUUUGAUGCAAGGUUAAGCAGUAAAUGUGGAGCCGUAGCGAAAGCGAGUCUGAAUAGGGCGUUUAGUAUUUGGUCGUAGACCCGAAACCAGGUGAUCUACCCUUGGUCAGGUUGAAGUUCAGGUAACACUGAAUGGAGGACCGAACCGACUUACGUUGAAAAGUGAGCGGAUGAACUGAGGGUAGCGGAGAAAUUCCAAUCGAACCUGGAGAUAGCUGGUUCUCUCCGAAAUAGCUUUAGGGCUAGCCUCAAGUGAUGAUUAUUGGAGGUAGAGCACUGUUUGGACGAGGGGCCCCUCUCGGGUUACCGAAUUCAGACAAACUCCGAAUGCCAAUUAAUUUAACUUGGGAGUCAGAACAUGGGUGAUAAGGUCCGUGUUCGAAAGGGAAACAGCCCAGACCACCAGCUAAGGUCCCAAAAUAUAUGUUAAGUGGAAAAGGAUGUGGCGUUGCCCAGACAACUAGGAUGUUGGCUUAGAAGCAGCCAUCAUUUAAAGAGUGCGUAAUAGCUCACUAGUCGAGUGACACUGCGCCGAAAAUGUACCGGGGCUAAACAUAUUACCGAAGCUGUGGAUUGUCCUUUGGACAAUGGUAGGAGAGCGUUCUAAGGGCGUUGAAGCAUGAUCGUAAGGACAUGUGGAGCGCUUAGAAGUGAGAAUGCCGGUGUGAGUAGCGAAAGACGGGUGAGAAUCCCGUCCACCGAUUGACUAAGGUUUCCAGAGGAAGGCUCGUCCGCUCUGGGUUAGUCGGGUCCUAAGCUGAGGCCGACAGGCGUAGGCGAUGGAUAACAGGUUGAUAUUCCUGUACCACCUAUAAUCGUUUUAAUCGAUGGGGGGACGCAGUAGGAUAGGCGAAGCGUGCGAUUGGAUUGCACGUCUAAGCAGUAAGGCUGAGUAUUAGGCAAAUCCGGUACUCGUUAAGGCUGAGCUGUGAUGGGGAGAAGACAUUGUGUCUUCGAGUCGUUGAUUUCACACUGCCGAGAAAAGCCUCUAGAUAGAAAAUAGGUGCCCGUACCGCAAACCGACACAGGUAGUCAAGAUGAGAAUUCUAAGGUGAGCGAGCGAACUCUCGUUAAGGAACUCGGCAAAAUGACCCCGUAACUUCGGGAGAAGGGGUGCUCUUUAGGGUUAACGCCCAGAAGAGCCGCAGUGAAUAGGCCCAAGCGACUGUUUAUCAAAAACACAGGUCUCUGCUAAACCGUAAGGUGAUGUAUAGGGGCUGACGCCUGCCCGGUGCUGGAAGGUUAAGAGGAGUGGUUAGCUUCUGCGAAGCUACGAAUCGAAGCCCCAGUAAACGGCGGCCGUAACUAUAACGGUCCUAAGGUAGCGAAAUUCCUUGUCGGGUAAGUUCCGACCCGCACGAAAGGCGUAACGAUUUGGGCACUGUCUCAACGAGAGACUCGGUGAAAUCAUAGUACCUGUGAAGAUGCAGGUUACCCGCGACAGGACGGAAAGACCCCGUGGAGCUUUACUGUAGCCUGAUAUUGAAAUUCGGCACAGCUUGUACAGGAUAGGUAGGAGCCUUUGAAACGUGAGCGCUAGCUUACGUGGAGGCGCUGGUGGGAUACUACCCUAGCUGUGUUGGCUUUCUAACCCGCACCACUUAUCGUGGUGGGAGACAGUGUCAGGCGGGCAGUUUGACUGGGGCGGUCGCCUCCUAAAAGGUAACGGAGGCGCUCAAAGGUUCCCUCAGAAUGGUUGGAAAUCAUUCAUAGAGUGUAAAGGCAUAAGGGAGCUUGACUGCGAGACCUACAAGUCGAGCAGGGUCGAAAGACGGACUUAGUGAUCCGGUGGUUCCGCAUGGAAGGGCCAUCGCUCAACGGAUAAAAGCUACCCCGGGGAUAACAGGCUUAUCUCCCCCAAGAGUUCACAUCGACGGGGAGGUUUGGCACCUCGAUGUCGGCUCAUCGCAUCCUGGGGCUGUAGUCGGUCCCAAGGGUUGGGCUGUUCGCCCAUUAAAGCGGUACGCGAGCUGGGUUCAGAACGUCGUGAGACAGUUCGGUCCCUAUCCGUCGUGGGCGUAGGAAAUUUGAGAGGAGCUGUCCUUAGUACGAGAGGACCGGGAUGGACAUACCUCUGGUGUACCAGUUGUCGUGCCAACGGCAUAGCUGGGUAGCUAUGUGUGGACGGGAUAAGUGCUGAAAGCAUCUAAGCAUGAAGCCCCCCUCAAGAUGAGAUUUCCCAACUUCGGUUAUAAGAUCCCUCAAAGAUGAUGAGGUUAAUAGGUUCGAGGUGGAAGCAUGGUGACAUGUGGAGCUGACGAAUACUAAUCGAUCGAAGACUUAAUCAA